AGCCUGGAGUCUGUGUCGGACGGACGGAUUACUUUUCCAAGCCGGAGAUUUUCCCCGGAGUGCCGGCCUCGGCAGAGUUGAGACCGACAACGCCUAGCUGACCUGACUACCCCGACUGACUGACCAUUCACGGUACCCUCAUCAAACCUCUCUGUUACGUCGGCUUUGGGUCGGCCCAGUGCCAUAGAAUGUCUGCCCACAUACGGAAGUCGCCACUGAAGGCGGAAUUUCAUCUCCGCGGUGUUUGUUUGGAACUGAGCUCGCAGGACACAGCAUCUCAUCGCAGUUGGUUUCAGGUAAGCUCUACUGGAAUAAAUUGGCAGAAAAUAGCUUUGUUGUUUCUUCUGUGACCGUUAAAAGAG